GAUGAAGAACGUAGCGAAAUGCGAUAAGUAAUGUGAAUUGCAGAAUUCAGUGAAUCAUCGAAUCUUUGAACGCACAUUGCGCCCGCCAGUAUUCUGGCGGGCGUGCCUGUCUGAGCGUCAUUUCAACCCUCAUGCCCCUAGGGCGUGGUGUUGGGGAUCGGCCAAAGCCCGCGAGGGACGGCCGGCCCCUAAAUCUAGUGGCGGACCCGUCGUGGCCUCCUCUGCGAAGUAGUGAUAUUCCGCAUCGGAGAGCGAUGAGCCCCUGCCGUUAAACCCCCAACUUUCCAAGGUUGACCUCAGAUCAGGUAGGAAUACCCGCUGAACUUAAGCAUAUCAAUAAGCGGAGGA
rnacentral:misc_RNA from 1 species